rnacentral:rRNA from 1 species
AUACGGAGGAUGCGAGCGUUAUCCGGAUUUAUUGGGUUUAAAGGGAGCGUAGGCGGGAGCUUAAGUCAGCGGUUAAAUGGUGCGGCUCAACCGUGCCCUGCCGUUGAAACUGGGUUUCUUGAGAGUGCAAGAGGCGGAUGGAAUUCAUGGUGUAGCGGUGAAAUGCUUAGAUAUCAUGAAGAACUCCGAUUGCGAAGGCAGUCCGCUGGGGCACGUCUGACGCUGAUGCUCGAAGGUGCGGGAAUCAAACAGGAUUAGAUACCCUGGUAGUCCGCACGGUAAACGAUGAUUACCCGCUGUCGGCGGUAGACAGUCGGCGGCCAAGCGAAAGCGAUAAGUAAUCCACCUGGGGAGUACGCCGGCAACGGUGAA